GACGUAGGCAGCGAGCGUUGUUCGGAGUUACUGGGCGUAAAGGGUGUGUAGGCGGUUGUUUAAGUUUGGGGUGAAAUCUCCCGGCUCAACUGGGAGGGUGCGCCGAAUACUGAAUGACUUGGAGUGCGGGAGAGGUGAGUGGAAUUCCUGGUGUAGCGGUGAAAUGCGUAGAUAUCAGGAGGAACACCGGUGGUGUAGACGGCUCACUGGACCGUAACUGACGCUGAGACACGAAAGCGUGGGUAGCAAACAGG
rnacentral:rRNA from 1 species